AGCGAACGCUGGCGGCAGGCCUAACACAUGCAAGUCGAACGAACCUUUCGGGGUUAGUGGCGGACGGGUGAGUAACACGUGGGAACGUGCCCUUAGGUUCGGAAUAACUCAGGGAAACUUGUGCUAAUACCGAAUGUGCUCUUCGGGGGUAAGAUUAACCGCGUCUGGAGCGGCCGUCGUCUGGUUCGCUAGUUGGUUGUGGAAAUGGCUCAUCACGGCGUGGAUCAGUAGCUGGUCUGGGCGGAUGAUUAGCCACAUUGGGACUGAGACACGGCCCAAACUCCUACGGGGGGCAGCGGUAGAGAAUCUUGCGCGAUGGACGAAAGCCUGACACAGCCGUGCCGCGUAAAUGAUGAAGGUCUUAGGAUUGUAAAAUUCUUUGACAGGGGACGAUAAUGACGGUACCCGGAGAAGAAGCCCCGGCUAACUACGUG
rnacentral:rRNA from 1 species